rnacentral:rRNA from 1 species
UCAAGCUAAAAAGGGCGCAAGGUGAAUGCCUUGGCACUGGGAGCCGAUGAAAGACGUGGUAAGCUGCGAAAAGCUUCGGGGAGGAGCAAACAUCCAUUGAUCCGGAGAUAUCUGAAUGGGGCAACCCAAUGGAGUUCAUACUCCAUUAUCCAAUACUGAAUCCAUAGGUAUUGGAAGGGAACCGCCUGAACUGAAACAUCUAAGUAGGGCGAGGAAGAGACAUCAAACGAGAUUCCGUAAGUAGUGGCGAGCGAACGCGGAAGAGGGCAAACCGAGAGGAGAAAUCCUUUCGGGGUACGGACUGCUUUUAAGACUGGAAGAGUUAACAGAAUGGCAUGGGAAGGCCAACCGAAGAGUGUGAGAGUCACGUAAGUAAAAAUUCUGACAGCUGCGCAGGAUCCAGAGUACGGCCAGACACGUGAAACCUGGUCGGAACAUGGGGGGACCACCCUCCAACCCUAAAUACUACCCAGUGACCGAUAGCGUAUAGUACUGUGAAGGAAAGGUGAAAAGGACCCCGGGAGGGGAGUGAAAGAGAACCUGAAACCUUGUGCCUACAAGCACAUAGAGCCCGUCAAAGGGUGAUAUGGUACUUUUUGUAGAACGGUCCGGCGAGCGAUUGUACGUUGCGAGCUUAAGGUCUUAAGGACUGGAGGCGUAGCGAGAGCGAGUCUAAACAGGGCGUUUAGUAGCGUGCAAUGGGCCCGAAACCGGGUGACCUACCCAUGAUCAGGCUGAAGUGAAAGUAAAAUUUCAUGGAGGGCCGAACCGACCUCCGUUGAAAAGGCGGCGGAUGAAUUGUGGGUAGCGGAGAAAUUCCAAUCGAACUCGGAGAUAGCUGGUUCUCCCCGAAAUAGCUUUAGGGCUAGCCUCAUGUUAGAUAUCCGGAGGUAAAGCACUGAAUGGCCUAGCGUCCGAGAGGAUAGCGAAGCCUAUCAAACUAAGAAUGCCGGAAUAUUGAUGCAUGGGAGUCAGACAGUGUGAGAUAAAUCUCAUUGUCAAAAGGGAAACAGCCCAGAUCUACAGCUAAGGUCCCAAAUUGUAUCUAAGUGGAAAACGAUGUGGAAAUACGCAGACAACCAGGAUGUUGGCUCAGAAGCAGCCACUCAUUUAAAGAGUGCGUAAUAGCUCACUGGUCGAGCGUCUCUGCGCGGAAAAUUUAACGGGGCUAAGAUACAAACCGAAGCUUAGGCUGCACUUUUAGUGCGGGGUAGGGGAGCGUUGUGUAAGCGGAGAAACAGUAGCGAAAGCGGCUGUGGAGUUUACAGAAGUGAGAAUGCCGGAAUGAGUAGCGCGAAUGAUGUGAGAAUCAUCAUGGCCGGAAACCUCAGGUUUUUGGAGGAAGGUUCGUCCGCUCCAAGUUAGGCGGGAGCUAAGGUGAGGCCGAAAGGCGUAGCCGAUGCACAGACGGUAGAGAUUCCGUCCCCACCGAAAGAUUUAAGCGCAGGGACACUUUUAGAAGGUCGGAGCCAGGUGUUGGUUCUGGUAGAGAUCGAGGGAAGAUUAGUACCGAAGUCCGGCUGGAUAAGAGGCGAGAAAAGCUGCGUGUAUAUCUAAGGUGCCCGUACCGCAAACCGACACAGGUAGGUAGGAAGAAGAUUCUAAGGCCAACGGGAGAAGGGUUGUUAAGGAACUCGGCAAGUUGACCCCGUAACUUCGGAAUAAGGGGUGCUCAUGAAAGUGAGCCGCAGAGAAUAGGCCCAGGCAACUGUUUACCAAAAACACAGGUUUGUGCUAAAUCGAAAGAUGACGUAUACGAGCUGACGCCUGCCCGGUGCUGGAAGGUUAAAAGGAGAUGUGCAAGCAUUGAAUUGAAGCCCCAGUGAACGGCGGCCGUAACUAUAACGGUCCUAAGGUAGCGAAAUUCCUUGUCAGGU